GUGCCAGCAGCCGCGGUAAUACGUAGGGUGCAAGCGUUGUCCGGAAUUAUUGGGCGUAAAGAGCUCGUAGGCGGUGUGUCACGUCUGCCGUGAAAACCUGCGGCUUAACCGUGGGCGUGCGGUGGAUACGGGCAUCACUUGAGUUCGGUAGGGGAGACUGGAAUUCCUGGUGUAGCGGUGGAAUGCGCAGAUAUCAGGAGGAACACCGGUGGCGAAGGCGGGUCUCUGGGCCGAUACUGACGCUGAGGAGCGAAAGCGUGGGGAGCGAACAGGAUUAGAUACCCUGGUAGUCCACGCCGUAAACGUUGGGCGCUAGGUGUGGGGCGCUGUUCACGUGUCCCGUGCCGUAGCUAACGCAUUAAGCGCCCCGCCUGGGGAGUACGGCCGCAAGGCUAAAACUCAAAGGAAUUGACGG
rnacentral:rRNA from 1 species